rnacentral:rRNA from 1 species
UACGUAGGGGCCGAGCGUUGUCCGGAGUUACUGGGCGUAAGGCGCGCGCAGGCGGCUCGCUUUGCCCGGCGUGAAAGCCCCCGGCUCAACCGGGGAGGGUCGUCGGGGACGGGCGAGCUUGAGGCCGGCAGGGGCAGGUGGAAUUCCCGGUGUAGUGGUGAAAUGCGUAGAGAUCGGGAGGAACACCCGUGGCGAAGGCGGCCUGCUGGGCCGGACCUGACGCUGAGGCGCGAAGGCGUGGGGAGCGAACGGG